CCUACGGGCGGCAGCAGUGGGGAAUAUUGGACAAUGGGCGAAAGCCUGAUCCAGCCAUGCCGCGUGUGUGAAGAAGGCCUUCGGGUUGUAAAGCACUUUCAGUGGGGAAGAAAGCCUUGGGGCUAAUAUCCUCGAGGAAGGACAUCACCCACAGAAGAAGCACCGGCUAACUCCGUGCCAGCAGCCGCGGUAAUACGGAGGGUGCGAGCGUUAAUCGGAAUUACUGGGCGUAAAGCGCGCGUAGGCGGUCUGAUAAGCCGGUUGUGAAAGCCCCGGGCUCAACCUGGGAACGGCAUCCGGAACUGUCAGGCUAGAGUGCAGGAGAGGAAGGUAGAAUUCCCGGUGUAGCGGUGAAAUGCGUAGAGAUCGGGAGGAAUACCGGUGGCGAAGGCGGCCUUCUGGACUGACACUGACGCUGAGGUGCGAAAGCGUGGGUAGCAAACAGGAUUAGAUACCCGUGUAGUC
rnacentral:rRNA from 1 species